rnacentral:rRNA from 1 species
CACAGACAAUCCUUCGGGUGCGUUUGUGGGCGGCGAGCGGCGGACGGGUGAGUAAUGCUUGGGGAUCUGCCCGGUUGUGGGGGACAACAGUUGGAAACGACUGCUAAUACAGCAUAAUCCCUUCGGGGCAAAGCAGGGGCUCUUCGGACCUUGCGCGAUCGGAUGAACCCAAGUGAGAUUAGCUAGUUGGUGAGGUAAUGGCUCACCAAGGCGACGAUCUCUAGCUGGUUUGAGAGGAUGAUCAGCCACACUGGAACUGAGACACGGUCCAGACUCCUACGGGAGGCAGCAGUGGGGAAUAUUGCACAAUGGGCGCAAGCCUGAUGCAGCCAUGCCGCGUGUGUGAAGAAGGCCUUCGGGUUGUAAAGCACUUUCAGCGAGGAGGAAAGGUUGACGGUUAAUACCCGUCAGCUGUGACGUUACUCGCAGAAGAAGCACCGGCUAACUCCGUGCCAGCAGCCGCGGUAAUACGGAGGGUGCGAGCGUUAAUCGGAAUUACUGGGCGUAAAGCGCAUGCAGGCGGUCUGGUCAGUCAGAUGUGAAAGCCCCGGGCUUAACCUGGGAACUGCAUUUGAUACUGCCAGACUAGAGUCCUUGAGAGGGGGGUAGAAUUUCAGGUGUAGCGGUGAAA